CACCUCGAGUGCACACUCUUGCCAUCUCAUAGGCCGCCUUCUGGCUGCCAUUUCAUAUAGAUCUUUUGUGUGCAGACUACAUAAUAAUCUCGUUGGGAAAAUGUAUCGUAUCACUGAACAAAGAAAAGAGCUACUUCAAGGACACCUACUGAAUUAUAUGAUAAAAGCAUAUGCAGGCAGAAAAUGUCUUAAUUAUUUACAGUAAGAACAAUGUAUAUAUCAUCUUCAGCUGCU